GAUGAACGCUGGCGGCGCGCCUAACACAUGCAAGUCGAACGAUUAAAGCACCUUCGGGUGUGUAUAAAGUGGCGAACGGCUGAGUAACACGUGGGCAACCUGCCCCUUUCAUUGGGAUAGCCACGGGAAACCGUGGAUAAUACCGAAUACUUCGAGACUUCCGCAUGGAAGACUCGAGAAAGCUCCGGCGGAGAGGGAUGGGCCCGCGGCCUGUUAGCUUGUUGGUGGGGUAACGGCCUACCAAGGAAAUGAUGGGUAGCUGGGUUGAGAGACCGACCAGGCAGAUUGGGACUGAGACACGGCCCAGACUCCAACGGGAGGCAGCAGUGGGGAAUCUUGCACAAUGGGCGAAAGCCAGAUGCAGCGACGCCGCGUGCGGGAUGAAGGCCUUCGGGUUGUAAACCGAUUUCAGCAGGGACGAGGCGAAAGUGACGGUACCUGCAGAAGAAGCCCCGGCUAACUACGUG
rnacentral:rRNA from 1 species